GAUGAACGCUGGCGGCGUGCCUAAUACAUGCAAGUCGAGCGGUAAGGCCCUUCGGGGUACACGAGCGGCGGACGGCUGAGUAACACGUAGGAACCUACCCCAAACUGAGGGAUAAGCACCAGAAAUGGUGUCUAAUACCGCAUGUGCCCUACGGAGUAAAGCUUCGGCGGUUUGGGAAGGGCCUGCGUCCGAUUAGCUAGUUGGUGGUAUAAAAGACUACCAAGGCGACGAUCGGUAGCUGGUCUGAGAGGAUGAUCAGCCAGACUGGGACUGAGACACGGCCCAGACUCCUACGGGAGGCAGCAGUAGGGAAUUUUCCACAAUGGGCGAAAGCCUGAUGGAGCAACGCCGCGUGCAGGAUGAAUGCCUUCAGGUUGUAAACUGCUUUUAUCUGUGACGAAUAUGACGGUAGCAGAUGAAUAAGGACCUGCUAACUACGUGCCAGCCGCCGCGGUAA
rnacentral:rRNA from 1 species